CAGGACACGUGGCUGAGAAAGAGAAGGGAAGGUGGAGCCGCCAUGUUGAACAUGUCUAGUCCCUAGUUCCUGCUGGUAUUCACCAGUGCAAGCUCCCAGCUUGCUUGCCUAUGUCUGCAGCUUGACUUUACAGGCUGCUCUUCGGUAGAAAAUGAUUUGGGGCUGCUUUUCCUUAAAAAGAAAAGCCUUACGAGGACUCCCAUACCCUUACUAUCUGCCUAAGUGAUUUCUUCUUAACUCCUGUAUCGUUUUGCACUGACCGUACCAUCUCAAGGGACUCAGUAAAUGAAAAAAAGAUAGUGACAUUGCCAGAAUGUGGGUAAUGAACAUUGGAGCAGAAGGGGCACUGAGUGGCAUCAGCAAUGGCAAAUUACUAUAAACCAAUCAGAGAAUGAAAUGACUUAAAGCUGGGCUUCAGUAUCAUCAAAGCCAUUCUUUCCUGAUUCUGCACCUGGAUUCCAGCAAGUUAUGAGGAUGAAUCUAAAUGAAAUAAAUGGAAGGAAAAAGAGUCCCAGAUGUUUGUAGAGAGCAUGUAUAAUUACACUGAGUAUAAAUGAGAAAAUUCUAGCAGAUACGUACAUUGACUUCUGAAAAGAUAAAGAGGCUUCUGUUUUCUUUAUAAGUAAGUAUUGAAAGACAUUCAUUUCCGGAUAGCAAUAUCAUAUUAUCACAAAGAAUAGCCUCAAACACACAUACUUAAACAUUAAGAUUAAUAUGAUAUUACUAAAAGACAGCAUACCCACAUAUCCCCAAUAUGUUUUUUACAUUAGGAAAGAUAAUUCACAGAAAACACAUCUAACACACACCUGACAGACUCACACAAACCAAGCACACAUACCCACAGAUAUAAACAUGAAUAUGCACACACAUUCUCUAUAUCUAUACAAAUAUUUUCUUUAAAUGGCACUACAUGUUCUAUACUCACUAACUUUUUUUUUCUAUCAUUCCCACUUAUUUUUAGAUAACAUCUAUACUUCUCUGCAAUAUUUUCCUCUUACAGAGUGACUCACAGGAUUGACUGUGGUGUUCUGUCCCUGGCUUCAGUUCCUGAGUCUGGCAGGUUAUUUAAGGCAGCACUAUUUAUCUACCAACCAAAGUCUUCUCACAGUGUAGCUGCAUCUUUCAUGCCAAAGGCAUGGGCUCUCCUCAGGCGAAGUUCAUGAGGGUGGCCUGAGCUAUUAUUUGUAGGUGGUAUUUGUUCAUUUUAUUUUUGUUACAUCAAAAAGUAGAUUGAAACCAAGGUUUUGUUUUUUGUUUAAACAUUUAUGUGCUUUUAUCCAAGUAUACAAGUAUAUUCCCUACUUUUUCCAAGGAAGCAAUGUUGUAGCCAGCAACAAAUGUAUACAUAAAAUUUUAACCAUCUGUUAUUCCUUUAACUAAACAAUAUCAAGAUUAAAGAGACUACCAGUAUUUUACAGGAAUACAAGAAUAAGCCUACUGUUAACAGAAUAAAAAGCGUGUGCACAUU
rnacentral:lncRNA from 10 species